GGAGGUGCCUUGCAUUGCACAUAAAGGUUACUCAACACACCUACAAAUCCUUGCUCUCACUUUACAUCCAUUUUCAUUUCUUUAGUUUACUUUGCUUUUUAUACAUCGUCAGAUUCAAGCACAAAUAGAGGCUCUAACGUGGUACUGCUGCAUUAUGGAAAGCAAAAUUCAAAGUGCUCAGAGAGAUGCAGACGAGGUGAAAGUCAUUAUGUUGGAUAAUAUACAUAGAACGGAUGAUCUCAGUCAGAGAGCUGAACAUCUUCAGAACACUGAUUUGGACGAAGCUGUAAAACCAAAAAGGAACCAGAAGAUGGAGUACCUGCGGGCUAAUAAAGGACUUGUUACCAUUGUACUAAUUUCAGCUAUUAUUGUAUUUGCUGUAGUGGUUGCUAUGCUUGCCACCCAUGACAUGCAAGCGCACACAGAAAUACACAGUGAUUUGGAAAAGCCAUAGUAUCAACAACAGCAAACUGUGGAACACGAAGAGAACAAAUCACCGAUAGUUGGCAGUUUUGUCUAGGCUACACUUCACCACUGCUGGGAGACAUUUAUGCCUUAAAACUAGUUGGCAUGCAUUGUGUUCUAAGAAUUAUCUGAGCUUAUGUGAAAAAAUGCAUUGUUU